AGCGAACGCUGGCGGCAGGCCUAACACAUGCAAGUCGAGCGGGCACCGCAAGGUGUCCGCGGCAGACGGGAGAGUAACACGUGGGAACGUGCCCUUUGGUCCGGAAUAACUCGGGGAAACCCGUGCUAAUUACGGAUACGCCCUUACGGGGAAAGAUUUAUCACCGAUGGAGCGGCUCGCGUCUCAUUAGCUAGUUGGUGAGGUAAUGGCUCACCAAAGCGACGAUCAGUAGCUGGUCUGAGAGGAUGAACAGCCUCACAGGGACUAAAACACGGCCCAAAAUCCGACGCGAGGAAGCAGUGGGGAAUAUUGGACAAUGGGCGCAAGCCUGUUCCAACCAUGCCGCGUGGAUGAUGAAGUCCUUAGGGUUGUAAAGUCCUUUUAACGGUGAAUAUAAUGGCGGUACCCGUAGAAUUAGCCCCGGCUAACCGCGUUCCAGCCGCCGCCGUAU
rnacentral:rRNA from 1 species